GACGGGGGGGGCAAGUGUUCUUCGGAAUGACUGGGCGUAAAGGGCACGUAGGCGGUGAAUCGGGUUGAAAGUGAAAGUCGCCAAAAAGUGGCGGAAUGCUCUCGAAACCAAUUCACUUGAGUGAGACAGAGGAGAGUGGAAUUUCGUGUGUAGGGGUGAAAUCCGUAAAUAUACGAAGGAACGCCAAAAGCGAAGGCAGCUCUCUGGGUCCCUACCGACGCUGGGGUGCGAAAGCAUGGGGGGCGAACAGG
rnacentral:rRNA from 1 species